CCGCUGCUCGGAGUCGGCGCACGAGCGUCCAUUUUGAAUAGGAGCCAAGCUGAGGGAGGGUAGAGGAGGAGAGGGGCUCGGGGUCAUGCCUCCCCUGUCGGAUGGCCUCAGUCUGAGGGGCUGGCUGGCAUGGGGUAGUAGAAAGGCGUCUUGAGCCAGCUGGGGACUCCUCGGCUUAGCAGUGCCAGAAUCUGAUGAAGAUUCUAGCAGAGAAAUGGGAUCAGAGACCAUUCAUUGGACUGGAACCUGGACAGAUGACCAGAUCUAAUGGGCCAGCUGCCCCCAAGACUGUCACUCCACUGUCGCUAGCGUCACUUAUUUACCUGAGAAACAGACUGGAAAAACCUUGCUUCAACCAAAGUAGAUUGAGUUGGAAUCUGGGAAAUUUGAACUUCCAGCAAGCAAAAAGGUUGCCUCUUGACGAUGAACCUGGCUCACCAUUUUGUUCGUUUGUCUCUCUGCUCAGAACCUUAAUCAACGUUACUGUGGUUCACACCACAUGCUUUAAGAGGUUGUCAGUCCCUUAAUCCUUGUGUAGCCUCACCAGUAUUAUCUCAUGAUUAAAUAAGAACACUGCACAA